GGCCGUGUAGCUCAAUGGCAGAGCGUCUGACUACGAUUAACAGCAGUUAAUUUUCUGUAAUCAGAAGGUCGCAGGUUCGACCCCUGUCUCGGUCA
rnacentral:tRNA from 1 species